rfam:Flavobacterium hibernum strain DSM 12611 Contig09, whole genome shotgun sequence.
CGCUAGCCCUGAUAGGAGCGAUAUCCUUUUGUUUUUUUCUUUAGAAAACAAAAGAUAUAGCGGAUAGCAGGAAAUAGC